AUGGGACCUGCGGUGCAUUAGCUAGUUGUAGGGUAACGGGCGUCCAAGGCGAUGAUGCAUAGCCCGAGUUGAGAGACUGAUCGGCCACAUUGGGGACUGAGACACGGGCCCAAACUCCUACGGGAGGCAGCAGUAGGGAAUCUUCCACAAUGGACGCAAGUCUGAUGGAGCAAACGCCGCGUGAGUGAAGAAGGGUUUCGGCUCGUAAAAAGCUCUGUUGUUGGUGAAGAAGGACAGGGGUAGUAACUGACCCUUUGUUUGACGGUAAUCAAUUAGAAAGUCACGGGCUAACUACGUGCCAGCAGCCGCGGUAAAU
rnacentral:rRNA from 1 species